rnacentral:rRNA from 1 species
GACGAACGCUGGCGGCGUGCUUAACACAUGCAAGUCGAACGGAAAGGCCCUGCUUUUGCGGGUCGCUCGUUUGCCGAACGGGUGAGUAACACGCGAGUAACCUGUCCCUGUCUUUGGGAUAACUUCAGGAAACAGGGGCUCUUAUCGGAUAGGAGCUCCUGCUGCAUGGUGGGGGUUGGUAAGUUUCGGUGGUUGUGGAUGGACUCGCGGCCUAUCAGCUUGUUGGUGUGGUAGUGGCGUACCAAGCUUGCGACGGGUAGCCGGCCUGGGAGGGUGAACGGGCACAUUGGUACUGAGGUACGGCCCAGAAGCCUACGGGAGGCAGCAGGGGAGAGUAUGGCACAAUGGGCGGAAGCCUGAUGCAGCGACGCCGCGUGCGGGAUGACGGCCUUCGAGUUAUAAACCGCUGUCGCCUGUGACGAAGCGUGAGUGACGGUAAUGGGUAAAGAAGCACCGGCUAACUACGUG